rnacentral:tRNA from 1 species
GCCCCUGUAGCUCAGAGGAUAGAGCACUGGCCUCCGGAGCCAGGAGCGUGGGUUCGAGUCCCGCCAGGGGUACCA